AAUAGAUACCCUGGUAGUCCACGCCGUAAACGAUGGAUACUAGCUGUUGGAGGUAUCGACCCCUUCAGUAGCGAAGCUAACGCGUUAAGUAUCCCGCCUGUGGAGUACGGUCGCAAGACUAAAACAUAAAGGAAUUGACGGGGACCCGCACAAGCGGUGGAUCGUGUUCUUUAAUUCGAUGCUAAACGAAGAACCUUACCAGGGUUUGACAUCCCUUGAAUUAAUCCGAAAGGAUUGAGUGCUUUAUUGAACAAGGUGACAGGUGAUGCAUGGCCGUCGUCAGCUCGUGUCGUGAGAUGUUUGGUUAAGUCCAUCAACGAGCGCAACCCUUGCAAGUAGUUGUAUUUUUCUACUUGGACUGCCCCGGUGACGGGGAGGAAGGAGGGGAUGAUGUCGGGUCAGUAUUUCCCUCACAUCCUGGGCUAGAAACACGAUACAAUGGCUAGUACAAUGCGCAGCGAAGCCGCGAGGUGAAGCAAAUCGCAUCAAAGCUAGUCCCAGUUCGGAUUGGAGGCUGAAACUCGCCUCCAUGAAGUCGGAA
rnacentral:rRNA from 1 species